UCUGCUUAUACUGCAGUCGAACGGGCGAUGCAGAAGUGGCAACACUUUUGCAAAGCUAGUGGCGAACGGGUGAGUAACGCGUAGGCAAUUUGCCUUAGAGAUUGGAAUAACCUCUUGAAAGGGAGGCUAAUGCCGAAUGCCCUGUUUUUUUCGCAUGAAAUUUAUAGGAAAGGGUGCCGCAAGGCCCCCGCUCUAAGAUAAGCCUGCGUCCUAUUAGCUUGUUGGUAGGGUAACUGCCUACCAAGGCGAUGAUGGGUAGCCGGUCUGAGAGGAUGAACGGCCACACUGGGACUGAGAUACGGCCCAGACUCCUACGGGAGGCAGCAGUAGGGAAUAUUGCGCAAUGGACGAAAGUCUGACGCAGCGACACCGUGUGAAGGAUGAAGGUCUUCGGAUCGUAAACUUCUGUCAAUUGGAGACGAAGGCAGUAGGGUUAAUAGCCUCAAUGCUGACGGUACCCAAUAAGGAAGUCUCGGCUAACUCCGUGCCAGCAGCCGCGGUAAGACGGAGGAGGCAAGCGUUGUCCGGAAUCAUUGGGCGUAAAGAACGCGUAGGCGGUUUUCCAAGUCAUAUGUGAAAACUUUAGGCUUAACCUAAAGAUUGCAUGUGAAACUGGAUAACUAGAGUACGGCAGAGGAAAGUGGAAUUCCUGGGUGUAGCGGUGAGAUGCGCAGAUAUCACGAAGAACACAAGUGGCGAAAGCGGCUUUCUAGGCCGUUACUGACGCUGAGCGCGAAAGCUAGGGAGCAAACAGAUUAGAUACCCUGUAGUCCUAGCUGUAACGAUGGAACACUAAGGGUGUGGGAAGUAUCGACGCUUUCUGUGCGAAGCUACGCAUAAGUGUCCCGCCCUGGGGGAGUACGCGCAGCUAAACUCAAAGGAAUUGACGGGGGCCCCCCCCA
rnacentral:rRNA from 1 species